rnacentral:sRNA from 1 species
AGGGGUCAAGUCCUUCCUGCUCAUACACUUCUGAAUACAGUAGAUGUUGAACUUAUCUAUGAGGGAGUCAAGUAUGUACUUAAGGUGACUCGACAGUCCCCCAACUCCUAUGUGGUGAUCAUGAAUGGCUCAUGUGUAGAAGUAGAUGUACAUCGGCUGAGUGACGGUGGACUGCUCUUGUCCUAUGAUGGCAGCAGUUAUACUACGUAUAUGAAAGAGGAAGUGGAUAGGUAAGUGGCUGUUUGAGGUCCAUUUGCUGGUAUCCUAUUAGCCUUUUCUCUUAUUAGUUACUAGCUCUUGGGAUUUUCCCAGGCUUUUUUUGGUACUCAUUUGUAGUU